rnacentral:rRNA from 1 species
UACGGAGGGUGCGAGCGUUGUCCGGAUUUAUUGGGCGUAAAGAGCUCGUAGGCGGUCUGUCGCGUCUGCUGUGAAAGCCCGGGGCUUAACCCCGGGUGUGCAGUGGGUACGGGCAGACUAGAGUGCAGUAGGGGAGACUGGAAUUCCUGGUGUAGCGGUGGAAUGCGCAGAUAUCAGGAGGAACACCGAUGGCGAAGGCAGGUCUCUGGGCUGUUACUGACGCUGAGGAGCGAAAGCAUGGGGAGCGAACAGG